ensembl:lncRNA
AUGCAUCCAUCUAUCUUCUAUCCAUUCAUCUACCUAUUUAUCCAUAAUCUAUCCAUCCCUCCAUCCAUCACCUAUCCAUUCCUCCAUCAUGCCUCCAUCCACUCAUCCAUCAGGCAUCUGUUCAUCCAUCACCUAUCCAUUCAUCCAUCUUCUAUCUAUUCAUUAUCAUCUGUCCAUCCAUCCAUCAUCUAUCCACCAAUUCAUCUUCUGUCCAUUCAUCUACCUAUUUAUCCAUCAUCUAUCCAUCCCUCCAUCCAUCACCUAUCAUUCCUCUAUCAUCCAUCCAUCCAUUCAUCCAUCAUGCAUCUGUCCAUCCAUCCAUCACCUAUCCAUCCGUCAUCUAUUCAUCCAUUAUCAUCUAUCCAUCAAUCCAUCUUGUAUCCAUUCAUCCACCCAUCUACCCAUCAUCUUUCCAUCCCUCCAUCAUCUAUCCGUUCAUUCUUCUGUCAUGUAUCUGUCCAUCCAUUGUUCAUCCAUCCAUUCAUUCAUUCAUCAUCUAUCAAUCCCUCCAUCAUGUACCCAUCCAUCACCCAUCCAUCCGUCCAUGCAUUCAUCCAUCCAUCUUCUAUUAAUCCCUCCAUCCAUCAUGUAUCCAUCCAUCCUCCCAUCUAUCAUCUAUCCAUCCAUCAUCUACCUAUUUAUCCAUUAUCAUCUGUCCAUCCAUCCAUCAUGUAUAUAUUCAUCCAUCCAUCCAUUCAUCAUCGACCCAUUUAUCCAUCAUUUAUUUCUUCAUCACUUAUCCAUCUAUCCAUCCAUAAUCUAUCCCUCCAUACAUUCAUUAUGCAUCCAACAUGUAUCCAUCUAUCCAUUCAUCUUCUAUCUAGCCUUUUAUCAUCCAUCAUCUAUCUAUCCAUUAUCCAUCCAUCCAUUUAUCAUCUAUCCACCCACCUAUCAUCUAUCCAUCAUCUGUUGAUCCCUCCAUCCAUCAUCCAUCCAUCUAUCCUUUAUCCAUCCACCCAUCAUCUAUCUAUACAUCCAUCAUCUAUCCAUCCUCCAUCAUCUUUCGGUCCCUCCAUCCAUCAUCUAUCCAUGCUUUCAUCCAUCACCCAUUCAUCCAUAAUCCAUUUAUCCAUCCAUUAUCCAUCCAUCCAUCAUCUUUUUAAAAAAAUUAUUAAAUGGAGUCUCACUACAUCACUCAGGCUGGAGUGCAGUGGUGCAAUCUUGGCUCACCCGCAACCUCUGCUUCCCAGGUUCAAGCAAUUCUCCUGCCUCAGUCUCUCAAGUAGCUGGGAUUACAGGAACGUGCCACCACACCCAGCUAAUUUUUGUAUUUUUAGUAGAGUUUGGGUUUUGCCAUGUUGA